rnacentral:rRNA from 1 species
ACGAACGCUGGCGGCGUGGAUUAGGCAUGCAAGUCGAGCGGCAAGGCACCUUCGGUGGCCCUAGAGCGGCGAACGGGUGAGUAAUACGUGAACAACCUGCCCUCACAUUCUGGAUAAUUCACCGAAAGGUGUUGUAAUACAGGCGAGGAUUCUUGAGAGGCAUUUCUUGAGAAGGGAAGGCGCAAGCCGUGCGAGGAGGGGUUCGCGGAUUAUCAGGUAGUUGGUGGGGAAUGGCCUACCAAGCCGACGACGAUUAGCUGGUCUGAGAGGAUGGUCAGCCACAUUGGAACUGAGACACUGUCCAGACUCCUACGGAGGCUGCAGUCGAGAAUCUUGCACAAUGUACG